GGUGGCUCAAUGGUAGAGUGUUUGCCUUGCAUGCAUGAGGCCCUGGGUUCGAUUCCCAGCACCA
rnacentral:tRNA from 1 species